rnacentral:rRNA from 1 species
UACGAAGGACCCGAGCGUUAUCCGGAUUUAUUGGGUUUAAAGGGUGCGUAGGCGUCCUGGAAAGUUAAGGUUGAAAUCUCCUUGCUUAACAAGGAAACUGGCCGUAAAACUAUCAGGAUUGAGUACAUUUGAAGCGGGCGGAAUGUGUCAUGUAGCGGUGAAAUGCUUAGAUAUGACACAGAACACCAAUUGCGAAGGCAGCUCGCUAAACUGUAACUGACGCUGAGGCACGAAAGCGUGGGGAUCAAACAGG